UAAAAACCUAGGUGAAUAUACUGUAAAUUUUCAAGAUUUAAGAUACCUUGUGGUGGUUUUUAG
rnacentral:tRNA from 1 species